GCCAACGUUCAUAUCACGUUGAAUACACCAGUUCUCGUCCGAUCACUGAAGUUAAGCAACGUUGAGCGUGGAUAGUACUUGGAUGGGUGACCGCUUGGGAACACCACGUAACGUUGACG
rnacentral:rRNA from 1 species